GCCCGGUUGGCGUAGUGGUUUAACGCGUGCACUUCAGAACUUUGUGCUGAGGGCCAAGGCACCCCGAGGACGCACGUUCGAACGGGGGAGCGGUCUGGCAAACCGCAGUACAAACCAAUGUGGUGCAAAACCUGGGUUCGAAUCCCAGACCGGGCA
rnacentral:tRNA from 1 species